UGGCCAGAGAAUUGGGAAAUUGGGCGCCAUUCUCUCAUCUAUCUCUCAUCCUUCCUUCCUACGCUCACUUUUUUGAAACCGCCUCUUCAAUUUGGAAACCUAAUAAAUUCUCUCAAUCAAUUAGUUGAAAUCAUUCUCCAAUUUGCCAAAUUGAUUUCUCUUCACAUUCACACGACUUCUCAAAACAUCACACAUUCAAUUUUACAAACCCUAAAUCUCAUCUACAGCUUCAUCUCUAGCAGCGAUUGUUCCUGGCCCUAGAAAUCCCUAAAUCUCAAGCAUUCAAACUCUCAUCUAGAUAUAGAGUUGUCGAAUCGGUUUUGAUUUUGUCGCUCAAUCGAACAAGACGAAAACAAAGAAGAUUAUGAAGGGGAAGGAGUCAAGAAGUUGAUUUCGUCAGAGAAAAUGUAACAAGGUGUUUAUUGAUGUUUAUUCUAGACUUCAUUUUGAAGAUCUGACCAAGAGCAUUGGAAA